rnacentral:rRNA from 1 species
UACGUAGGGACCAAGCGUUGUUCGGAUUUACUGGGCGUAAAGGGCGCGUAGGCGGCGUGACAAGUCACUUGUGAAAUCUCCGGGCUUAACUCGGAACGGCCAAGUGAUACUGUCGUGCUAGAGUGCAGAAGGGGCAAUCGGAAUUCUUGGUGUAGCGGUGAAAUGCGUAGAUAUCAAGAGGAACACCUGAGGUGAAGACGGGUUGCUGGGCUGACACUGACGCUGGAAGCGACGAAAGCCUAGGGGAGCAAACGGG